ACCAUGUUGAGGAACAAUGCUGCUCGAAUUCUCGGCACAUGAUUUCUCACAUUCGUGUAGAAUAGAGGGCGCCUGUGUAUGUAAGAGAAAAACAGUUGCUGGCCGAUAAUAAACGCCAUAGUUAUCUGAAUUCAAGCUAUCAAAAAACAAAUUUCACAAGUAUUCACAAGAUUUGGUGGAUCGGGUCAGCUGUUUGCAGCUUUUCCACACAAUAGCCACACGUGACUAGACUGUAGAGAACAAAAUGAGACCGUUCUGAAAUGAAAUACAACCGAAAUCCAUUCUUGGGAGAUUUCGUGGUCUGUCGAAAACAAUAGACGCACGUGCCUGUAAUAAAGUUGUCUAAUGCAGAUGCAUACCCAUGACAAUGACAGCAAAACAUUGUUGAAGAAUUUAUGCAUACAAAAAACUAAAACAAUUCCCACGCUCCUCUGCCCGAAAUCUCUCUGGUUUCCUCCAAAACCUAAUCUUAUCAAUACGCCAUCCAGAUCUAUACAGUGCCGCCUUCGGGGUUCUGUUCAUAAUGUACUGUUUGCACUGUCGGCAUUUGAAAGAACUCCAAAGCCAGCAUCCACAUAGCGACAUUUGUCGCUGCGGUCGAAAGGUCAAGGUGGGCCAUUGUCUUAGCAACUGGUUUUUUGGGCAGGCCAGGCCCCAAGAGAGUGCCCCAAAAUGAUCUGGCGAACCUUUCCCAAUUGGAAUUACCGAAUUCACUUCCGUUUUGCACAAAUUAGCAGUUCCAGGUUCAGCUUCUGCCCCGCAGAUCACUCGCAACCCGGCAGCUGAGACGUGUUUGCGUGCUAAAAGUUCUUACAACUUUUCACACUUUAAAUGAGUUCUGACGACAAUUAAAAUACUUGCAUUUAUAUUACAUAUUUACAAUAAAUGUAUAUACAUAUAGUAUA